CCUACGGGGGGCGGCAGUGGGGAAUAUUGGACAAUGGGGGGAACCCUGAUCCAGCCAUGCCGCGUGUGUGAAGAAGGCCCUCGGGUUGUAAAGCACUUUCAGUGAGGAAGAACGCCUGGUGGUUAAUACCCAUCAGGAAAGACAUCACUCACAGAAGAAGCACCGGCUAACUCCGUGCCAGCAGCCGCGGUAAUACGGAGGGUGCGAGCGUUAAUCGGAAUUACUGGGCGUAAAGCGCGCGUAGGUGGCUUGAUAAGCCGGUUGUGAAAGCCCCGGGCUCAACCUGGGAACGGCAUCCGGAACUGUCAAGCUAGAGUGCAGGAGAGGAAGGUAGAAUUCCCGAUGUAGCGGUGAAAUGCGUAGAGAUCGGGAGGAAUACCAGUGGCGAAGGCGGCCUUCUGGACUGACACUGACACUGAGGUGCGAAAGCGUGGGUAGCAAACAGGAUUAGAUACCCGAGUAGUC
rnacentral:rRNA from 1 species